rnacentral:rRNA from 1 species
UACGUAGGGACCAAGCGUUGUUCGGAUUUACUGGGCGUAAAGGGCGCGUAGGCGGCAAUUCAAGUCAUCUGUGAAAUCUCCGGGCUUAACCCGGAACGGUCAGAUGAUACUGCUUUGCUAGAGUGCGGAAGGGGCAAUCGGAAUUCUUGGUGUAGCGGUGAAAUGCGCAGAUAUCAGGAGGAACACCGGUGGCGAAGGCGGGUCUCUGGGCCGAUACUGACGCUGAGGAGCGAAAGCGUGGGGAGCGAACAGG